AGGUGUCACGCCGAAAAGCAACCGGUGGCAUUCUGCACAUCUGCGCUCCGCCAUUGGGAUUUGGCUUCGUGUUAUUAAACACAGGGUGGAUAUUUAAAAUGAAAUGCAGUAGCUUGAUACUGAACACUGCGAGGCAAACAGAGGCUUUCCAAACUGAAACAGCCAAGCAUCAUCCCGUGAGAGGAUGGAAGACUCCGAGCUGCUUGCCACGCAGAAGGAGCUCAGCACGGCUUACUGAUAGCACAAUGAUCCAGUGAAGCAGGGACAGCUUCUUAAGGAACAAUCUAG